CAUGCUUUUGACGGGUAACGGGGAAUUAGGGUUCGACUCCGGAGAGGGAGCCUGAGAAACGGCUACCACAUCCAAGGAAGGCAGCAGGCGCGCAAAUUACCCAAUCCCGAUACGGGGAGGUAGUGACAAGAAAUACCGAUUCAGGAUCUUAUUGGAUCUUGAGAUUGGAAUGAGUACAAUUCAAACCCAUUAACGAGGAACAACUAGAGGGCAAGUCUGGUGCCAGCAGCCGCGGUAAUUCCAGCUCUAGUAGCGUAUAUUAAAAUUGUUGCAGUUAAAACGCUCGUAGUUGAACUUUGGGCUUGGCUGGCUGGUCCGCCUCACCGCGAGCACUGGUCCGGCUGGGCCUUUCCUCUUGGGGAUCCACAUGCCCUUCACUUGGGUGUGUUGGGGAACCAGGACUUUUACUUUGAAAAAAUUAGGGUGUUCAAAGCAGGCAUUUGCUCGAAUACAUUAGCAUGGGAUAAUAGAAUAGGACGUGUGGUCUUAUUUUGUUGGUUUCUAGGACCGCCGUAAUGAUUGAUAGGGAUAGUUGGGGGCAUCGGUAUUCAAUUGUCAGAGGUGA
rnacentral:rRNA from 1 species